GCCUGGGUGGCUUAGUGGUUAAGCACCUGGCUUUGACUCAGGUCAAGAUCCCGGAGUCUAGGGGUCAAGUCCCACCUCAGGCU
rnacentral:tRNA from 1 species